AUGAACGCUGGCGGCGUGCCUAAUACAUGCAAGUCGAGCGAACAGACGAGGAGCUUGCUCCUCUGACGUUAGCGGCGGACGGGUGAGUAACACGUGGAUAACCUACCUAUAAGACUGGGAUAACUUCGGGAAACCGGAGCUAAUACCGGAUAAUAUAUUGAACCGCAUGGUUCAAUAGUGAAAGACGGUUUUGCUGUCACUUAUAGAUGGAUCCGCGCCGCAUUAGCUAGUUGGUAAGGUAACGGCUUACCAAGGCGACGAUGCGUAGCCGACCUGAGAGGGUGAUCGGCCACACUGGAACUGAGACACGGUCCAGACUCCGACGGGAGGCAGCAGUAGGGAAUCUUCCGCAAUGGCGAAAGCCUGACGGAGCAACGCCGCGUGAGUGAUGAAGGUCUUCGGAUCGUAAAACUCUGUUAUUAGGGAAGAACAAAUGUGUAAGUAACUAUGCACGUCUUGACGGUACCUAAUCAGAAAGCCACGGCUAACUACGUG
rnacentral:rRNA from 1 species